rnacentral:rRNA from 1 species
GAUGAACGCUGACAGAAUGCUUAACACAUGCAAGUCAACUUGAAUUUGGGUUUUUAACUUAGAUUUGGGUGGCGGACGGGUGAGUAACGCGUGGGUAACCUGCCCUAUACACAUGGAUAACAUACUGAAAAGUUUACUAAUACAUGAUAAUAUAUAUUUGUGGCAUCACAGAUAUAUCAAAGUGUUAGCGGUAUAGGAUGGACCCGCGUCUGAUUAGCUAGUUGGUGAGAUAACUGCCCACCAAGGCGACGAUCAGUAGCCGACCUGAGAGGGUGAUCGGCCACAUUGGAACUGAGACACGGUCCAAACUCCUACGGGAGGCAGCAGUGGGGAAUAUUGCACAAUGGGCGAAAGCCUGAUGCAGCAACGCCGCGUGAACGAUGAAGGUCUUCGGAUCGUAAAGUUCUGUUGCAGGGGAAGAUAAUGACGGUACCCUGUGAGGAAGCCCCGGCUAACUACGUGCCAGCAGCCGCGGUAAUACGUAGGGGGCUAGCGUUAUCCGGAUUUACUGGGCGUAAAGGGUGCGUAGGUGGUCCUUCAAGUCGGUGGUUAAAGGCUACGGCUCAACCGUAGUAAGCCGCCGAAACUGGAGGACUUGAGUGCAGGAGAGGAAAGUGGAAUUCCCAGUGUAGCGGUGAAAUGCGUAGAUAUUGGGAGGAACACCAGUAGCGAAGGCGGCUUUCUGGACUGCAACUGACACUGAGGCACGAAAGCGUGGGUAGCAAACAGG